CUGUAAAAGGGAUAUAUAAGUAAAUGUGUGUAGUGCUGGACAGUGAUAAAGGCUAAGAAACAAAAGUAACUGAAGACUGGAAGAGGACUGUAAAUGUUGGAAGGAGACUGAAGUUUUAGGCUAUCCUGCUGAAGGAUGAGACAUGUGCAGCAGAGUGGAAUCAGCUCAGUUUUCCCAGCAGAGGCCUCAUACAUUUGAGAAAGCCCAGAAAAGAUUACUCAAGCCAUUCAGCAAACCCACAGCUGACAAUAGAUGCAUAAAUGAGCUUCACCAAGCCCAGCACAAAUCAGCUCAACUGCCCAGCUGGUCCACAUACUUUGAAGCAACAGGCUCAGAGUGGUUCAGUGACUUGCCUGAGGCUACACAGCUCAUCGGUGAUGGAGCCUGUUGGAAAUUGGAGUUACCUUGGCUCCAAGCCCCACUCCACUAUCCUGCCUUUCUCUAAGAUUGAACCAGAGCUCCACAACUCAGCAAAAAGGUUGAAAGUCUUCUCUAACGUAGGCGGAUAAAAUGAAAGCUGUCUUUCAUGCUGCCCUGUCAUCAAAGCCGAGAGCAAGCCUCAGUAAGUUUACCAGUUUGAGUGAGCAAAACAACCCGAUUCCCAACAGCAAGCAGGCAUGACCACUGUUGAGAAACAUUAAGUUUACCCUGCCCCCAUGGUUCUCUUGUGGAAGAUACUUUUAGUUUGUAAUUAGUGGUAGGCGGGUAACAGCUGCCUACCUAGUAUAUUUGUAUAUGUAGAUCACCUGUGUAUUAAUAAGAAUCACGUGUCAAAGAGCAAAUAAACACAUGGAUGACUCUCUGCUCAGGGGUUUUCAGUCUGGAGAGCUGUCAGCCCCACAGUCUCUCAGGCUGUUGGUCCCCAGGAUAGAUUCACUCUGUUGUGCUGUUUCGGUAUCUGCCUCUCAAAUGCCUUCAGCGCCAUCUGGGUGGGGGUAUCCCAACUGAGCUGGUUCUUGGUAAGAGGUGCCCAAAUGUGGAGACUAAAACCCAGGAUGAAGGAUUGCCUGAACAAUGGAAAAAGAGGCUAAGCUGAAGGUAUCUCUGCAAUGUUUGAAAAGAAUCCCCCAGGUGAGUUAGGGGGAGCCAGAAGGAGCCCAGGGGGAGACUCCUGGGUGAAUUAGGGAGAACCCAGAAGUGGCCCAAAUACUACUGGAAAAAAUCCCUGGGGUAAGUUGGGGAGCUCAGAAGGAGCCCAAGGGAGACUCCCAGGGUGAAUUAGGGAGAACCUUGAAGUAGACCAAGAAUGUUUGAAAAAAUCUCCCAGGGUUAGUUGGGGGAGCUCGGAAUUGGCGCAAGAACAUUUGAAAAAAAUCUCCCAGGGUGGCAGCUGGGGGAACUCGGUCAUAUUGGGGUAACAUCAGCCAAAGAUCAAGCAAACACAGGGCUUAUUUUGUGUGGUCCAUUUGGACUUUGGUGUGUUUUGCCCUGGAGCUGUUUCAGACAUAAGGUGAGGAAAAGGAUUCAGGAGAAAAUUCAGGAGAAGAGAAGGAGUGUGAUUAAGUAUGUAAAGAAAUCAUGGAGCAAAAAGAUGAAAAGUCAAAUGAGGAAAAGGUGUGCCCAUCAGCCCUGCUCAGUAUCUUGUAGAGAGAUGGUCAGAGCCUCCCCAAUAUUUCUACUGCUGCUUCUGUUGGCGUGUGUGCUCCUAGAACUAUGGUAACCAGUUCGGGUGCUUGUACUCCUAUAUCUAUGGUAACCAGUUCUAUCCAAGCUGGGAUUCAACAAGAGGGAAAUGAGGGAGAUUUAGAGGCAUGGCAAUUUCCCGUGGUUACACACCUUCCAGAUCAGCAAGGGCAAGUAUGGGUUGCUUUUGAACCCCUUCCCUUCAAACUGUGAAGAGUUUAAACAGGCCAUCAGUCAGUAUGGGCCUGAGUUUCCAUUUGUGCUAGGAUGAUAGAAGAGCAUAGCUUUUUUUUUUUUUAUUGUAUUUGGCUCUGCAGUACAUGUGCACAUCCUGCAUCCUGCAGGAUUAUUGCAUAGGUA